UUUCAUAUAAUAUAAUAAGUAUAAUUGAUUUCCAAUCGAAAAGUCUAUUCAUUAGUAUAAAUA
rnacentral:tRNA from 1 species